UUCAACCAUUUGCUCUACUAACUGAGAUUCGAUAGUGGUGACAAAAAUCUGUGCUUCUUCAAAAUUUCAAAGACAGGAACCAUUUUUCUCCCAUUAAAAUAUCAUGUAACAGUGAUUCAAUAUUUGUCUGUUCAUCUGCCAAAACUACAAUAUAUUCUGACACAGUUGGCGUCAGUGUUGUUGGUGUGUCAGCCCUCCUGCCCGUACUUGUCCUCCCCGAUCUGGUUUCGUCUGUCUUCAUACAUCUGUCUACGGGAUACACGUCUGUCGCACUAGUAUGGCUGUAGAAACGUUCUUCUAGUGGACGGUGACACUGCGUACACUCUCGACCUUUGUGUGAGCCGAGAUGUUUGCUGAGAGCAAACACUUGUAGUGUCACACCAGUUACAUGUAUCAUGUCUAGCCACCGCUACGUUGUUUGCUGAAGUUUGUGGUUGUGGACAACAGCUGAGACCCGGCUCAUCGUGUUUUAUACAGACAGAAAGUACAUUGUGUUGAUCCACAACAAACAACGAACCCGAAAUGGCAGCACCAUGGCCAGAGGGAAGACAUCAGGAGAAAGAUCAUCUUCAAGCACUACAUACGAAGGCUAAAAGGCACUGUUCCAACCGGCCUUCCGAUAGAGUCAACGGCCUUUACCGCAAUAAACCUGCUGAAUAUUUCAAGCAACUUGUAAAUAAAACCAUGUUGCCACGAAGGAAGGACAACGGCGGGGAUCCACGCUGUCCCAUAAACUGAAAGGUGUGUUCUUCGGGGUGACUCUUUGGAACGGAGGGCUACCAACCAUAUCACCAUACGGAAACACCAGAGUGGUGGUUUCCCUGAAAAGACUCUUUGAUGACUCUGCCAGGCUGUACUUCGCCGAUUUCUACUGUAUGUCAAGUCGAAGCGAUAAUCACUACAUCACAUUGGUCCUUACAAAGAAGG